rnacentral:rRNA from 1 species
AACGAACGCUGGCGGCAUGCCUAACACAUGCAAGUCGAACGAGAACUUCGGGCCUAGUGGCGCACGGGUGCGUAAGGCGUGGGAAGUUACCCUUAGGUUCGGAAUACCUCCCUGUAAGGGAUGCUAAUACCAGUUAAUGUCAUCGGACCAAAGAUGUCUCGCCUUGGGAUGGGGCCGGGUUGGUUUAGCCGGUUGGUAGGGUAAAAGCCUACCAAGGCCACGAUGCAGAGCUGGUCUGAGAGGAUGAUCAGCUACACUUGGACUGAGACACGGCCUAGUCUCCUACGGGAGGCAGCAGUAGGGAAUACUAUAGGAUGAGGGAAAGCCUGGUCCAGCAAUGCCGCGUAAGUGAGGAAUGCCUUAGGGUUGUGAAUCUCUUUUACCCGGGAUGAUAAUGACAGUAACGGGUGAAGAAGCUCCGGCUAACUCCGUG